rnacentral:rRNA from 1 species
AUUGAACGCUGGCGGCAGGCUUAACACAUGCAAGUCGAGCGAGCGGCGGACGGGUGAGUAAUGUCUGGGAAACUGCCUGAUGGAGGGGGCUCACUACUGGAAACGGUAGCUAAUACCGCAUACCAUCAGAUGUGCCCAGAUGGGAUUAGCUAGUAGGUGGGGUAAUGGCUCACCUAGGCGACGAUCCCUAGCUGGUCUGAGAGGAUGACGAGCCACACUGGAACUGAUGAACGGUCAAGACUCCAACGGGAGGCAGCAGUGGGGAAUAUUGCACAAUGGGCGGAAGCCUGAUGCAGCCAGGCCGCGUGGGUGACGAAGGCCUUCGGGUUGUAAAGCACUUGCAGCGAGGAGGCGUUACUCGCAGAAGAAGCACCGGCUAACUCCGUGCCAGCCGCCGCGGUAAUAC